CCCUUAAAACACUCUACAGUGAACCAUUGUAAAUGAGUUGAGUCUUCAUUUCAUGGCUCAUGUAUUUUCUUUAUUUGAUGAUCAGUGUUGCUUAAGUGGAAAACGUACAGCAGGUUCGUCCGGAUAGCUUCUCAACAUCUACAUGAAAAAUCAGCUCCACAGCCUCAGCUGUAUCUUACUUGCCACAACUUUUUAUCUUUUUCUGUCAUUACUUCGACCAACUUCUCUUUGCUUUAAGCUCAGAACGUGUCUGAACUCUGCCGUUUGUGUAUCGUAGCAACAGUCACGUUUCAGAAUCGGACGCUCCUAUUGGCCCCCGUGGGUGCAGCGUCACAGCGAAUCGGAGCGUGUGAUUCUGUGGCUUUGAUGUGAGUAGACGUCACCAUCAAAGACAGUUCGACGUACGUUCAGAUGGAAGCAACGCGCCAGGCGAAAGCAACAGUCACGUUUCAGAAUCGGACGCUCCUAUUGGCCCCCGUGGGUGCAGCGUCACAGCGAAUCGGAGCGUGUGAUUCUGUGGCUUUGAUGUGAGUAGACGUCACCAUCAAAGACAGUUCGACGUACGUUCAGAUGGAAGCAACGCGCCAGGCGAAAGGGUCAUCGGAAAAGUUUUUUUAAUCAUGCUAAAGUUACUGAAUGAAAGGUUUGGGGCAUCCACCGAAAACGGAUCCAUUUUUGGAAGAAGCCCACACAUUGUCCUGGACUACGAUGUACCUCUUUGUUUGUACAAAGCUUGUACAUAGUUCACCUUGUGUCCUAAUUAUUUUUGUGCGUCGCAGGUGUUUUUAAAUAGUUCGGUUUCAUGUUUUUUUUUCCUCCCUCAAUUAUUGGUCCGUUGCAUCAGGAGGGAGGAGGCCAGGAGAGGAUCAUUGGGAGGGCAACUGGCUUUUGUUGGAUUUUGUAAAUAGUUAAUGUUGUUUUGUUUGUUGUUUUUGUUCAUGACAAGGUUUAGUAAAUAGUUGUAUUUCAUGUAUCUUUUUUAUUUGUCCGCUUUUAUUAUGGUAAUUUAUUUUGAUUUUGUUCAUAGUUUUUGAUAAAUUAGUUUUUACAUGGAUCAUUAGAGGAAUGUUCGUCAUGGUAAGUUUCCUACUAAUUUUGUUUUGUAAAUAGUUUUUGGUGUUUUUAAAUAGAUCGUUAGAGGAAAGUAAGUUUCCUUUUCCCUUUUUUU